AUCUGUAUUCUAGGACCUGGAAAUAG
rnacentral:piRNA from 1 species